rnacentral:rRNA from 1 species
UACGUAGGGGGCAAGCGUUGUCCGGAUUUAUUGGGCGUAAAGAGCGUGUAGGCGGCUAGAUAGGUCCGUUGUGAAAAACUCGAGCUCAACCUCGAGACGCCGGUGGAAACCAUCUAGCUAGAGUCCGGAAGAGGAGAGUGGAAUUCCUGGUGUAGCGGUGAAAUGCGCAGAUAUCAGGAAGAACACCUAUGGCGAAAAGCAGCUCUCUGGGACGGUACUGACGCUGAGACGCGAAAGCGUGGGGAGCGAACAGG